AUCCUCGUACCUAAAGUAUCAUUUUUUUGCAAUGUGAUAGCAAAAGAAGCAAAAAAAUAAAAUCUACCAGCAUUUGACGAUUUCUACCGAAAAAAAAUAGGAGCAGUCUCCCGAAAUUUUAUCCAAGACCUGUGGCAACACUACUCAAAUAUUAUAUUUUCAGAUUUAGCCAUACGACGCACACUUACUCUAAGGAUAAAAUAGGCUAUAUAAUCCCAGAUACCUACGGUAUCAAAAGGGUUGAUAGACAAUUCACGACUAUUAAUCUCACUGAUCGUUCUUUACCAUAAAGACUAACCUUUCCACCAUUAAUGGGUAGGUACUCAUGGAUUAUCUAGUAGAAUACACAUUUUUAUGUCUUUAUUGUAUCGCAAAUUUGAAAGUGACUUUUCAUGAGAUAAGGUUUAUACCCAGUGUAAUAUAUUUGCAUUUUCCCAAGUAGCAAUUUUACGACCUGCAACCAAUUUUGUUCUAAUGGGACGUUAAAUUUAAGGACAAAAUUGGUUCACAGUAAGCGUUAACCAAGGACAACGUCUGUAUUCCUAUGGACCAACGUUGCUGCUAAUAAGUAAUAUAAUCUGAUGACUAACUGACAUCGGGAAUAACGACGUCAAUUAUUAGGAUAAGGUUUGACGUUAAGCUGACGUCGGUCUUAACCUAUCUAUAGUAUAAGUGCAAUUAAGUGGCAUACAUCAACGACUACUCAACGUCGGGAAUUACAACGUAUUUUUUAGGAUAGAUGCCAACGUUCAGAGGACGUUGGUGUUUUAUCGAGUAUGGUAGACGUAUUUUUCGGGAAGACGACAACGACAAUCCAACGUUGAUAAUACCAACGUUAAUUAUUAGGUUAAGGUUUAACAUUAAGCUGACGUCGCGCGUCGGGUAAAACCUCUAUACUACAAUGUAAUUUACUGGAAGACAUUUAACGACUGCUCAACGUCAGGGAUUACAGAGUAUUUAUUAGUAUCGAACCCAACGUUCAGGAGACGUCGGGUGUUUUCUCAGUAGGUAUAUGGCAGAUUGCUGCGUGUACUUGCGGGAAGGUGAGAACGACAAUAAAACGUAGGUAAUUAGGCAAUCCAAACCACGUGACCUCUGGUUGGCACACAAACUAACAAAGAGGUUAUGUUUGUAUCUAUUUUUCAAUGAUUUUUCAUUGUUUAUCGUCGUAUUUUGUCUAUUUUGGAUUCAUUUGGAUGUCGUUUCCUGUUUUUGUGAACUUUAUAAACUUUACCACAAUGCAAACUGAUUAUUUAAGGAAAUUAUUAUUGGAAACUCCAGAUGUUGCGAGAAAGAUAUUUAUUGAAGCUGAAAAUAAUUGGGGAUUUAGAUCCAUACGCAAUUCAGUCAGAAUUGGAUUUUACAGUAAAGUGCAGUCCAUCAAGUUACUAUUAUAGAUAUUUAUACAUAUCGUGGAGUCUCACAGUUGCUACUCUAAGCAGCAGAUGAAAGCAUACAAAAGCCUUCAGGCACAUAAAUAUUUUACAGCUGGAUUUGUUUUGAAUGGAGUAAAAAUUGUUAAUGAUUUCCAUAUUAUUGUUGGAAAGGUGAAGCAUUUCCAAAAAUCUAAUGCUAAACGACUAAAUGCUUGGGUGGGGUGAUAGCCAGUUCUGAUGACAUAGCAAAUGCACAUUGUAUGCGUAUAGCCGGUAAUAGUGAAGUCUGCAGCCAUAUUGCAGCAAUCCUAUUUUUAGCUGAGUAUGCCCAGGGCAAGACAGACGAAGAAGAAGCCAAUGCAUGUACAUAUGUUACAGCUACAUGGUUUGGAGAUAGCAACAUAUGCAUUCUCUGAUGAAAAACUAAUGAGUUUUGAAACUGUUCGGUCAGAGUGCUUGUUGCGCUCACUAAACGAACUGAAAUAUAAGAUGGCUUUGGCAUUGUGUUGCAGCGAUAUGAAAAUGGUUAUUCAUUUUUAAUUAUAAUGUACUUCUUCAUCAUGAGUAAUUAUGUAUUGGUCUUUUAAAUGUGUAUUUAUUUUUGUAAUUAGUAUCAACUUGUAAUGAUAAUAUACAUUUAUCGUUUAAGGUAUGACUGUGUUUUGACUCUAAAAUAAAUGUUUUAAAAAUCGAA
rnacentral:lncRNA from 1 species